rnacentral:rRNA from 1 species
AGAGAUUGAACAUAAGAGUUUGAUCCUGGCUCAGAUUGAACGCUGGCGGCAUGCUUUACACAUGCAAGUCGGACGGCAGCACAGGGAAGCUUGCUUCUCGGGUGGCGAGUGGCGAACGGGUGAGUAACAUAUCGGAACGUACCGGGUAGCGGGGGAUAACUGAUCGAAAGAUCAGCUAAUACCGCAUACGUCUUGAGAGGGAAAGCAGGGGACCUUCGGGCCUUGCGCUAUCCGAGCGGCCGAUAUCUGAUUAGCUGGUUGGCGGGGUAAAGGCCCACCAAGGCGACGAUCAGUAGCGGGUCUGAGAGGAUGAUCCGCCACACUGGGACUGAGACACGGCCCAGACUCCUACGGGAGGCAGCAGUGGGGAAUUUUGGACAAUGGGCGCAAGCCUGAUCCAGCCAUGCCGCGUGUCUGAAGAAGGCCUUCGGGUUGUAAAGGACUUUUGUCAGGGAAGAAAAGGCUGUUGCCAAUAUCGGCGGCCGAUGACGGUACCUGAAGAAUAAGCACCGGCUAACUACGUGCCAGCAGCCGCGGUAAUACGUAGGGUGCGAGCGUUAAUCGGAAUUACUGGGCGUAAAGCGGGCGCAGACGGUUACUUAAGCAGGAUGUGAAAUCCCCGGGCUCAACCCGGGAACUGCGUUCUGAACUGGGUGACUCGAGUGUGUCAGAGGGAGGUGGAAUUCCACGUGUAGCAGUGAAAUGCGUAGAGAUGUGGAGGAAUACCGAUGGCGAAGGCAGCCUCCUGGGAUAACACUGACGUUCAUGUCCGAAAGCGUGGGUAGCAAACAGGAUUAGAUACCCUGGUAGUCCACGCCCUAAACGAUGUCAAUUAGCUGUUGGGCAACUUGAUUGCUUGGUAGCGUAGCUAACGCGUGAAAUUGACCGCCUGGGGAGUACGGUCGCAAGAUUAAAACUCAAAGGAAUUGACGGGGACCCGCACAAGCGGUGGAUGAUGUGGAUUAAUUCGAUGCAACGCGAAGAACCUUACCUGGUUUUGACAUGUGCGGAAUCCUCCGGAGACGGAGGAGUGCCUUCGGGAGCCGUAACACAGGUGCUGCAUGGCUGUCGUCAGCUCGUGUCGUGAGAUGUUGGGUUAAGUCCCGCAACGAGCGCAACCCUUGUCAUUAGUUGCCAUCAUUCGGUUGGGCACUCUAAUGAGACUGCCGGUGACAAGCCGGAGGAAGGUGGGGAUGACGUCAAGUCCUCAUGGCCCUUAUAACCAGGGCUUCACACGUCAUACAAUGGUCGGUACAGAGGGUAGCCAAGCCGCGAGGCGGAGCCAAUCUCACAAAACCGAUCGUAGUCCGGAUUGCACUCUGCAACUCGAGUGCAUGAAGUCGGAAUCGCUAGUAAUCGCAGGUCAGCAUACUGCGGUGAAUACGUUCCCGGGUCUUGUACACACCGCCCGUCACACCAUGGGAGUGGGGGAUACCAGAAGUAGGUAGGGUAACCGCAAGGAGUCCGCUUACCACGGUAUGCUUCAUGACUGGGGUGAAGUCGUAACAAGGUAGCCGUAGGGGAACCUGCGGCUGGAUCACCUCCUUUCUAGAG